rnacentral:lncRNA from 1 species
UUUGUAAUGUUUUGAACAACCCACAAUAAUAAAAAAAAAGAAAUAUAAACCCUAGUGGGGAAAAGACCAUAAAUUUGGUAGAGAGAUAAAUAAGGAAAGUUUUCAAGGAAGUAAAAUAAGGUAAGUGUGUCAUUUAAAUAUAUAGUGAACAUAGUGGAUGAUGAACAAAGAAAUCAAAUAAUUGAUGAUGAAGUUAUAUUUGAAAUUCUCUGAAAGUGUAGAAGAUAAAGAUAGACACAGAGCGUGAAGAAAGAAGUUAGAAGAGAAAUUAAAGCAUCAACUUAAGAAAUCUGAUAUUCUUGAGAGAAAUCAGAAUUGGGAAAGAAGCACUAAUCAAAGAAAUAAUGGAAGAAUACCUUCCUUCCUGCUAUGAAGAAAGAUGAACAUAUAAAUUGAAUUUUUUUCAUUUGCACUAUGUCUUCACACUUCUAUCCAUUUUUAUGCAAUGGACCUUUGAAAUAUUUCUCUCUCCUGAAAUGCUUUGUUUCCACUUGAAUCCUGCUCAGUGUUUGAAUUAUCCUUCCUUCAAUGUUUCUAAUAUAUUCACUUAUUAAAAAAAUUUCUGAUUAUAU